rnacentral:rRNA from 1 species
UUUUGUGGGGUGCUCGAGUGGCGAACGGGCGAGUAACACGUGAGUAACCUGCCCUUGACUUUGGGAUAACUUCAGGAAACUGGGGCUAAUACCGGAUAGGAGCUCCUGCUGCAUGGUGGGGGUUGGAAAGUUUCGGCGGUUGGGGAUGGACUCGCGGCUUAUCAGCUUGUUGGUGGGGUAGUGGCUUACCAAGGCUUUGACGGGUAGCCGGCCUGAGAGGGUGACCGGCCACAUUGGGACUGAGAUACGGCCCAG